UGUAAUUAUCAUCCAAGAAAGCAAAAUGAUAAUGGAUUGAAGUUAAGGAGAAUUGUUGAGACAGUAGUAACGAAACUGCAUUGCAUUUUGUUAUUGGUAGACUUGUGAGCCGGUUGCUUCAAUAUGCUCUUGUAAAUGAAGUUUUGGCAAUUCCCUAUGAUGAAACGAUCAUUAAACGCACCUUGGAAGGCAAACUCUAUCUGAUAUUGGUGUCUGAAAGAAGCUUAUGUCAAAGCAAUUGGGAGUGGAGUGGCAUAUGGUUUGGACACAAUGGAAUUUCAUCACAGUUGCUGAACAAACAUCUCUGUUAAUGUUGAAGGGAAGGCUAUGAAAGAAUGGCGCUUUUGGCUUAGGAAAGGGACAUUUGGAAAGUUCCUUGUUAAUUUUAUUUCUUUGUUUUCAUUGAGAUGCCAUUUUUGGUUUUCAAGGUUACAUAGUUUUCCAUAAAAUCGCAGGUCUCUAUUGCAAGGGGUCAUCCAAGAUCAGCUACUGAGAGUUACAUGAGAA